rnacentral:rRNA from 1 species
GCUUGUCUCAAAGAUUAAGCCAUGCAUGUCUAAGUAUAAACGACUCUAUACUGUGAAACUGCGUACGGCUCAUUAAACCAGUUAUAGUUUAUUUGAUAUUCCCCUACUACUCGGAUAACCGUAGUAAUUCUAGAGCUAAUACGUGCGCACAACCCGACUUCUGGAAGGGUCGUAUUUAUUAGAUAAAAGGCCAGCCGGGCUCUGCCCGACCUGCGGUGAAUCAUGAUAACUUCACGAAUCGUAUGGCCCUGUGCCGACGAUGUUUCAUUCAAAUUUCUGCCCUAUCAAUUUGAUGGUAGGAUAGAGGCCUACCAUGGUGGUAACGGGUGACGGAGAAUUAGGGUUCGAUUCCGGAGAGGGAGCCUGAGAAACGGCUACCACAUCCAAGGAAGGCAGCAGG